AGAUUGUAUGUAAAGUUCCAGAGUCUUAUUAGUUUACAAUUUUUCUUUCCUUUUCUAGACACACUGUGAAAGAACUCAGCUUGGGCAGGGGCCUCUGCAUGGCAAACUUCAGCAGCAUGUGGGUCUUCUACAUAGCUGUUCAACUCCAACUCCAUUCCAGAGCCAGCCAUUCUGAAGAUCACGGUUGAACAAAAAAGCCUCAUAUACAAAUCCCCAAUUCACAUAGGAACUGGGAAUGCGAGUAACGUCUUCACUUCUGUGAGCCUGUUAUUAGGAACAGACGCCACGCCUGGAUCCACGUCUUUGAUGUGUCCACUGAAGAGCUGCAACCAGGUCAUAAAAUAGGUCAAUUUUUAAAAUAUAUGUCUUAUAGGUCAGAUGUAUUUUAA
rnacentral:lncRNA from 1 species